CUCGCUCAUCACUGAAGUUUUAUAAUAACAACACAGUGAAUCAACACACUUGCUUUUUAUGCUCCUUUAUUCAUAAAAGUGAGCGUUUCAGUUUCCUAGCGACCGGAUAAAGUCAAGCAGUGAUGUUUUCACGCAAAAACCGAAUGAGACGCGUGUGCGCAUAGCUUUGGGUGCCAAAACUUUGAAAAUGUUUCAUCUUCGUUAAGUCUUCUUUUUUACAAAAAAACCACCUUGGUAACAAACUGUUUGUUUUAACUUCAUGGCGUCUCAAAAGACAAUUCAGAUGGUGACAAGAAAUCUACACAUACUACAUGUCUUAAAGAGCUGUCAAAAUCAAAAUUACUUUAGCUGCAGAAAACAAGUAUGGAUGCCCAGUUUGCCAAUAUUCAGUUGAAUGCUGUCUGAAAAGGUCAGAGAA